UACGAAGGGGGCUAGCGUUGUUCGGAAUUACUGGGCGUAAAGGGCGCGUAGGCGGUGUGUCAAGUCAGGCGUGAAAGCCCCGGGCUCAACCUGGGAACCGCGCUUGAGACUGGCACGCUAGAGUUCGGGAGAGGAUGGCGGAAUUCCCAGUGUAGAGGUGAAAUUCGUAGAUAUUGGGAAGAACACCGAUGGCGAAGGCAGCCAUCUGGACCGACACUGACGCUGAGGCGCGAAAGCGUGGGGAGCAAACAGG
rnacentral:rRNA from 1 species